GGAACCGUAGCUCAAUUGGUAGAGCCGACAGCUCAUAACUGUCUCGUUGGGGGUUCGAGUCCCUCCGGUUCCA
rnacentral:tRNA from 1 species